UACAGAGGUCCCAAGCGUUGUUCGGAUUCACUGGGCGUAAAGGGUGCGUAGGCGGUCAUUUAAGUCUGACGUGAAAUCUCCGGGCCUAACCCGGAAACUGCGUUGGAAACUAUUUGACUAGAGGAAUGGAGGGGAGACUGGAAUUCCUGGUGUAGCGGUGAAAUGCGCAGAUAUCAGGAGGAACACCGGUGGCGAAGGCGGGUCUCUGGGCCGAUACUGACGCUGAGGAGCGAAAGCGUGGGGAGCGAACAGG
rnacentral:rRNA from 1 species